AACACCUGUCUCUCCAUGAUCACCCUCUCUCUCUCUCUUGCUUUCGAUCAAUUGGAGGAGCUCAAUGUAAUGCUUACCAUGGUUUCCUACAGCAGCGAAUGCAAAUUCAGCCGCGACAUGGACUGCACGGCUACGUUCACAAGAUCUGGAGCCAAUAAGGACUCGGUUUUUAACCAUUUCAACAAUCAGCAUCGACUGGUCUUACACACAAAGCUCGAGAGCAGAAUCCAGUGCAAAGCUUGGGAAGAGAACAUACCAGGUUCAACUUCUACAGUUGUGUGCAUUGCACUCAUAAUCAUCACAGAUUGCCUACCACUACAGUAAAGGAUUCCCAUUAACUUCCAUCAACUCACACUCUACGCUUCGUUCAUCGAAGAUGAUACUGGUUGCUGGAAUAGUGGAAGUACCUGAAGACCCUGCUAUGGCUGAAAUAGGUGAAACAAUUGCAACUCUGCAGGAAAAAGAGGACAGAGCGAGCACACAACUGGGGGUACUA